rnacentral:rRNA from 1 species
UACGGAGGGUGCGAGCGUUGUCCGGAAUCAUUGGGCGUAAAGGGCGCGUAGGUGGCGGGACAAGCGUGCGGUGAAAGCCUGGGGCUCAACCCCGGGUCGGCCGUGCGAACUGUUUUCCUUGAGCACUGUAGAGGCAGGCGGAAUUCCGGGUGUAGCGGUGGAAUGCGUAGAGAUCCGGAAGAACACCGGUGGCGAAGGCGGCUCUCUGGGACGGUACUGACGCUGAGACGCGAAAGCGUGGGGAGCGAACAGG